GCGUUAGUUUAGCUCAGUGGUUACUUCUCAGCAUCCAAAAGCUCUUCCAGCCUUCGUCAGAGGGUUCGAACCACGGGCGCUGUCUAGCGCUUUU
ensembl:misc_RNA Vault Vault RNA